GGUACGGGGUGUUAGGGCACGACACCGGAGAGGGAGCCUGAGAAACGGCUACCACAUCCAAGGAUGGCAGCAGGCGCGCAAAUUACCCAAUCCCGACACGGGGAGGUAGUGACAAUAAAUAACAAUACGGGGUUCUUUAGGAUCUCGUAAUUGGAAUGAGUACAAUUUAAAUCUCUUAACGAGGAACAAUUGGAGGGCAAGUCUGGUGCCAGCAGCCGCGGUAAUUCCAGCUCCAAUAGCGUAUAUUAAAGUUGUUGCAGUUAAAAAGCUCGUAGUUGAAUUUCGGGGUUAGUAGGUUGGUCAUGCCUCUGGUAUGUACUGGUCUCACUGAUUCCUCCUUCCUGAUGAGCCGUAAUGCCAUUAAUUUGGUGUUGCGGGGAAUUUGGACUGUUACUUUGAAAAAAUUAGAGUGUUUAAAGCAAGCUAACGCUUGAAUACAUUAGCAUGGAAUAACGAAAUAGGACGUUCGAUCCUAUUUUGUUGGUUUCUAGGAUUGACGUAAUGAUUAAUAGGGAUAGUUGGGGGCAUUAGUAUUCAAUUGUCAGAGGUGAAAUUCUUGGAUUUAUUGAAGACUAACUACUGCGAAGCAUUUGCCAAGGAUGUUUUCAUUAUCAAGAACGAAAGUUAGGGGAUCGAGACCAUCAGAUACCGUCGUAAUCUUAACCAUAAACUAUGCCGACUAAAAUCCGAUGAAGUAAUUUUUUAAUG
rnacentral:rRNA from 1 species